GUGGCUCAACAAGCUAAAAGAGAUAUGCCUGCACUUCUAGAGGAUCAUCCCCGGCCGAAGUAAAUUCAUCGAUCAAGGCUUCCCAUCUUUUUGGAUGGACGACUCAAGGAGCUUUCAAAAACCAUUAUUGAUAAUAUUCAUGUGGGUAAAAGAGUGGCAACUUCGUUUCUCCAGUCCAAUUACAGCCUCUUUACCGAAGUCUUUUGAGUAUUUCUUCUAGCAGGGAUUUUUUUUGAGGAACUUUCUAGCAGAGAUUGAUACCGCGAAGAAGGUGCUUCCUAGAGAUUUCAUUGUAAUUCUUUGUAUUUUUUUAGGAGUUAAUUUGUAUAUUUUCACGUUUUAGAUCCAAACCAAUGUAACUGUAAUUUUGUAAAAAGACAGGUAGGGUUGCUCGCCUAUAAAUCUCUACUCCUAAUGUCUCAGUUGGUAGUCUCCGCCGGUUAAAUUUCGUCCCACCAAUACCGGUUUAUUUUCGUCCUCCCUCCCACCUCCCACGUCCCAGCGAUUCCCCCUGGACCCGCGAACUAACAAAAAAAAUAGCUAUGCACCCACGAUUUCCAGCGACAAACCUCCUGUCAAUCGAGAAAAAAAUGGUGUGAAAAAAUCUACAAAAAUUAACCUAUGAAAAUUAACCAGACGCUCGCCCGUAUGAGCGAUUUCUCGUGCCCUCGAAGCACUCGCACGCAUGAGUCGUUCGCCGCACGCAGUGAAAAAAACAGCCAGCGAGGCUCCCCUCGAUCUAUUUCCUACGAUCUCUCAAGGACGCCCCAGCCCCCGAGACGAGCCGCCGCCGAGAUCCGAGACGAUCCGCCGCCGCCGAGGACCGAGUGGAGCCGCCGCCUCCACGUCGCCGCCGCCGGCGCUGGCCAGGCUCCCCACCGAUGGGCGCGCCGGGUCGCCGCUCCUCGAGGCCAGUUCCCCUCGCUGCUCCAGAUCGCGCCUCGGUUUGUGAUCCCUUGGGGAUCCUGCCGGUCCGCCGCCGCCGAGGACUGAGUGGAGACGUCGCCUGCACGUUGCCGCCGCCGGCGCUGGCCAGGCUCCCCACCGAUGGGCGCGCCGGGUCACCGCUCCUCGAGGCCAGUUCCCCUCGCUGCUCCAGAUCGCGCCUCGGUUUGUAAUCCCUUGGGGAUCCUACCGGUGCUGGAGGCGUCCACGAUGGUGCGAACUCAGGACCGAGCGGUGGGGCACGUCAUGCGUUCUGGUUGAGAGAUUGGUCGGGCUGGCGUGGGAACUGAACUGCCGUCGAUGGAUUUUUUGGUAGCUUGGCUGCAUGUUGCUUCAGAUUUAGUACUACCCCCAUCUCUCUCUCUCUCUCUGUUUGUGUGUGUGUGUGUGUGGGCGCGCGCGCGAAGCAGUCGAUCUCUAAUUGCCGACUGCCGACUCAUCGCCCCAAUGGCCGUCGCAUCAGUUCCAUACCGCUACAGCACUGCCAGCCACCGUUGUUGUAUUGCCUUGGAUUCAGUUGUGGCUUCGGCUGGAACUGUACGGUGUUGUCUGAUGCCCUGGUCCAAGCGGGUUUGGUCCGCUGAUGCCAGGUAUGCGAUGCUCUUGAGCCUGGGUACAUUAUGCAGCAAAAGAUGUGAGUGUUGGGCUUGACAUGAAGACAAAACUGAGUCCUCUUUUGCUACACUACAUAUACUCAAUGUUUCACAGUUGAGUUGCGUUUUGUUUUGGAUUUGGUACAAUCGUCAUCACACUCUCUUUCUCAAACACUAAACCAAAUCAGUUGCAUUACAUUUUACCUCAAAUCUUUGUCUGCGGUCACUUAUAGGAUUAGAAGUUUGAAUGAGCACAAUCUCAUUAAUUGAAUUUGUACCAAACUUGAUCGGUAACUUUAUUUUAAUAUUUUGCUGGCCGUCAUUUGCUCUAUUUGUUUAUUUAUUUUUCCUAGCAACUAUGUGCUGUUACAAGCUUCAUUCUGAAUUUUGAUGUAAAUCUCCUGUUCCCAGGUCCACCAUGACAUCAAUGCAUCAUUGUCCCGCUAUUUCAUUACACGGGAGACUAAUCAUAAUUUACUGGCAAUCAGCUAAUCAGUGACUGUGGUGAUGUUCUCAUCAUCAAGGCACUGCAAAUAGGUGUUCGUGUAAUUAAAUUAGACAUGUGGCCAAAUUCUUCUAAAGAUGACACUGAUAUUCUCCAUGAAAGUACUGAAUAUGACUUCCGCUGACAGUACUCAUAUUUAUGCUUCCGUUACUGAAAUCUUCGUGAGUGUGGAUCCUAUAUGAUUCUCUUCAUAUAAAAUACUACUAUUUUGGGAAAGGCAUCUAGCUGAGUUUUAAUAGAACUCUUCAGUGAAAAAUAUUUCUAACGGUGUUAGAACGACAACUGACAAGGACUGCCACGAUUAGAGCUACCAUUUGGCCCCAUGUUUCAGUAUGCAGUCAAGCAUGCAAUAAAGGUAAUGACGGGGCAUUUUGUAGUUUCGGGUAGUGCAUGUAGUUUUGGCCAAAUUGUAUGUUACAGUUAACAUCGUAGGAGAUUGGAAUUCUGAAUUUGGAUGCUUCAAUGCAGAUCAAAGAAGUAGAAUACUCCCUCCGAUCCAAAUUACUUGUCGUUGAAAUAGAUGCAUCUAUAAUUGACAUACAUCUAAGAUACAUCCAUUUCAGCAACAAGUAAUACAGAUUGGAGGGAGUAUCAAUUUUGCUGUGUUGAAGUCGUUAUGGAGGUGACAAGGAAUCUAUAUUGCUCUGUAGAUGACGACAUUGUGCAUUGCAAUAUAUAUUGCCCUGUAGAAAAAUACAUUUAUGUGGAGUAUGCUUCAGGUAAUUCACCAAUGCAUUUGUUUCAUCAUUUCUUUUUGACUAUUAACUGCGUGAGCAAGUGUCUAAUAAUAGAAAAGUUCCCCAUUGGGUCGCUACUACAACUAAAUGGGCUUGUGAAUAGUUGUAGAACGUACUCUAUUUUGUUCCCCAUUGAAGGGCAAUGUUCCUGUUGGUCUCUCGAAAGAACUGAAAGAAAUGCAGCCUUGACAAUUGAAUGCCCACAUUCCUUGUUGGAGAUCAUAGAGCUAUAUACAUUCAUGAGUUAUUAUGUUGAUGCACACUGCAUUGCAUUUACUAAACUUGUUUUCUUCUUACCAGAUUCAGUGGUAAUGUAAUUUUGGUCGGGCAGGGGUUUGUGAAGAAAACUAGCAAGGUUCAUAGAUGCACCCAGGUGGAAUACUUACUUUCCAAAUGUCAAGUAUUUUUAAAAAAUUAGACAUAUAAAUGUCUGAGUCCUUUGUGUGCUUGUCAAAUAUCAUGCAAAAAUGAUAAGGAGGACGAGGUUAUGAGGUAAUGUGCUCGGGCGGGAGGAAGAGGUACUGGUUCAACCCAUGAAAGUUCUUAGCUCAUAAUUGCUACCAAUUCUACAGAAAAGGCUGUGAUUUUGUUAACCUAACUAGAGCUUUCAUGUUAUGUCAGUCCUUUAUUUAGAUGAUUUAGCUGUUGACCUACCAUUCCUUUCUAGAUGAUUACUUGCAGUUCUUUUACUAAGGCAGUGCAUCUAGGGUUUCUUUACUUGCUCACUGACCAUUCAGUUCAAUGACGGCCAAUGCGGUAGAAUCGAGGCUACAACUCUGGCACUUCAAAGAGGAAAAGAAAACAUGACUACUUCAUGGCGAGAGAAGAGGAGGGCAGCGAGGAGCGAACAUGGGGAUGGGUGGCUGGGGCGUUUCUUGCACGAGGAUGGGGAAAUUGGAGUUAUCCAAGACCGGAAAUGUCCCUGUUGCUCUUAGGAAUGAUACUUUAUUUUUCAGUCAUUUGUUUUUUCCACUCAAUCACGGUUCACUGUUACUCCAAGUAAGAACUGCGAUUUUGCAAAGAGUAAGCCAUUUCUUGUGAA